AUUUAAGACCUGUUUCACUUUACCUGUAUCCAGGAGGCAGCCAGGCUGGGGCCGAGAUUGAUGUGCUGAACAUGAUUUAUUUAUCUGGAUUUGCUCUUGUGGUCUGGGUGUUACCUGGGUGUGGAAUUUAACCAAAUGACAAGAUGGGUUUGCGUGUGUUCCUGAGCUUGGGGAUUGUGUGUGUGUAAAAAGUGAGUUGGGGUUUGUGUACAUGGCAGGGGGUUGCUGUUAGGUGGCUUGUGUGUCUGUUUGUCACUGGGACCAACGUGUGGUUGUGUGUG
rnacentral:lncRNA from 1 species